UACGGGGGGGGCAAGCGUUGUUCGGAAUUACUGGGCGUAAAGGGCUCGUAGGUGGCCAACUAAGUCAGACGUGAAAUCCCUCGGCUUAACCGGGGAACUGCGUCUGAUACUGGAUGGCUAGAGUUUGGGAGAGGGAUGCGGAAUUCCAGGUGUAGCGGUGAAAUGCGUAGAUAUCGAGAGGAACACCUGCGGCGAAGGCGGGUUGCUGGGCUGACACUGACGCUGAGGCGCGAAAGCCAGGGGAGCGAACGGG
rnacentral:rRNA from 1 species